rnacentral:rRNA from 1 species
UGGGGAAUUUUGGACAAUGGGCGAAAGCCUGAUCCAGCCAUGCCGCGUGAGUGAAGAAGGCCUUCGGGUUGUAAAGCUCUUUUGUCCGGGAGGAAAUCCUGACCCCUAAUACGGGUCGGGGAUGACAGUACUGGAAGAAUAAGCACCGGCUAACUACGUGCCAGCAGCCGCGGUAAUACGUAGGGUGCAAGCGUUAAUCGGAAUUACUGGGCGUAAAGCGUGCGCAGGCGGUUUUGUAAGCCAGAUGUGA